CAUGCACUAACUGUACGAUCCAGUGGUUACACUUCUCUUAGUUAUGUAUCAAGAAAAAUGAAAACUUAUGUCACCAAAAGACUUGUACAGGAGUACUCUGAGCAGCUUUUUUCAUAUUAGCCAAAAAUUGGAAACUCAAAUAUCCAACAGGGGAUGUGACUAUGGAGAGAACUCAGAGACCCCAGUGGGGCAGAGGCCAAGAUGGGCUGGACCAGAUCAGGCAAGUCUGCCUCCAAGUCCCUCAGUGGCAGGCACAAGCACCAGCAGCAAGAGAGAAUUCAGUGAGUGGCCACCAAGUGCCCACAGGCAUGCCUGGAAUGCAUCUGGGAAACCUCUAUGGCCCUGAAUUAUCUGAACAAGAAUGAAUCCAGUCUUCAAUACUGCUAGAUCUUGGUCCACUAUCCCAGAAAAUGAGAAACAACAAGAUAAACAGGUACCUGCUCUUCCUUCCAUAAAUUGCCCAUACA